AUUGAACGCUGGCGGCAGGCCUAACACAUGCAAGUCGAGCGGAUGAAGGGAGCUUGCUCCUGGAUUCAGCGGCGGACGGGUGAGUAAUGCCUAGGAAUCUGCCUGGUAGUGGGGGAUAACGUCCGGAUACGGGCGCUAAUACCGCAUACGUCCUGAGGGAGAAAGUGGGGGAUCUUCGGACCUCACGCUAUCAGAUGAGCCUAGGUCGGAUUAGCUAGUUGGUGGGGUAAAGGCCUACCAAGGCGACGAUCCGUAACUGGUCUGAGAGGAUGAUCAGUCACACUGGAAGUGAGACGCGGUCCAGACUCCUACGGGAGGCAGCAGUGGGGAAUAUUGGGCAAUGGGCGAGAGCCUGAUCCAGCCAAGCCGCGUGUGUGAAGAAGGUCUUCGGAUGGUAAAGCACUUUAAGUUGGGGGGAAGGGCAGUUAGUUAAUACCUUGCUGUUUUGACGGUACCAACAGAAUAAGCACCGGCUAACUUCGUG
rnacentral:rRNA from 1 species